rnacentral:rRNA from 1 species
UGCAGUCGACGAUGAACCGCUUUCGGGCGGGGAUUAGUGGCGAACGGGUGAGUAACACGUGGGCAAUCUGCCCUGCACUCUGGGACAAGCCCUGGAAACGGGGUCUAAUACCGGAUAUGACUGUCCAUCGCAUGGUGGAUGGUGUAAAGCUCCGGCGGUGCAGGAUGAGCCCGCGGCCUAUCAGCUUGUUGGUGAGGUAGUGGCUCACCAAGGCGACGACGGGUAGCCGGCCUGAGAGGGCGACCGGCCACACUGGGACUGAGACACGGCCCAGACUCCUACGGGAGGCAGCAGUGGGGAAUAUUGCACAAUGGGCGAAAGCCUGAUGCAGCGACGCCGCGUGAGGGAUGACGGCCUUCGGGUUGUAAACCUCUUUCAGCAGGGAAGAAGCGAAAGUGACGGUACCUGCAGAAGAAGCGCCGGCUAACUACGUGCCAGCAGCCGCGGUAAUACGUAGGGCGCAAGCGUUGUCCGGAAUUAUUGGGCGUAAAGAGCUCGUAGGCGGCUUGUCACGUCGGUUGUGAAAGCCCGGGGCUUAACCCCGGGUCUGCAGUCGAUACGGGCAGGCUAGAGUUCGGUAGGGGAGAUCGGAAUUCCUGGUGUAGCGG